rnacentral:misc_RNA from 1 species
UCAAACUUGGUCAUUUAGAGGAAGUAAAAGUCGUAACAAGGUUUCCGUAGGUGAACCUGCGGAAGGAUCAUUAAAAGAGAGGCCCUUGGGCUGUGCGCCUUGGCUGCACGCCCUCUGGGACAAUCAAGAUUCCUUUUACACCUGUGCACGUUUCAAACGCAGGGAUGCGUUUGCCUAUUUUUAUCAUAAACCCGACAUGUCUGGAAAGUCACUUCUAUGAUUUUUUUAAUCGAGUAAUACAACUUUCAACAACGGAUCUCUUGGCUCUCGCAUCGAUGAAGAACGCAGC